UACGAAGGGUGCAAGCGUUACUCGGAAUUACUGGGCGUAAAGCGUGCGUAGGUGGUUUGUUAAGUCUGUUGUGAAAGCCCCGGGCUCAACCUGGGAAUGGCAAUGGAUACUGGCAAGCUAGAGUGCGGUAGAGGGUAGUGGAAUUCCCGGUGUAGCGGUGAAAUGCGUAGAGAUCGGGAGGAACACCAGUGGCGAAGGCGGCUACCUGGACCGAUGCUGACGCUGAGGCGCGAAAGCGUGGGGAGCGAUCCGG
rnacentral:rRNA from 1 species